AUUGAGAACAUUUUUUUAGCAACUACCUGUAUUUUUCUUACCAGUAAAAGUAGUGUUUAAAAAUUUAAUCUAAUCAUAUUUCAGAAUGCUUCUGUUAUUCCAAUACUGGUCAUUAUUAGUCAGAGUUAUGUCAUAAUUAUGUUUUAAAUCUGAAAUGGAACAAAAUACUGACAUGUUAUAACUCGUCUCAUAAACAGGUUAAAAUAUGGCAGUGCUUAAAGAAGAAAUAACAUUAUCUUAGUGAUGGCAGUAAGCAUGAAUACCAGAAACAUAACCCGGAGUGAGGACGGUGGGUUGUGAAGGCGUUUUCCAGCUUCUCAUUUCAACACACAGACCAGAGAACGUGUCUUGAGUGGUGUUGGAAUCAAAUAGUUUGCAGUGCCUCAAUAAUGCUAUGCUUUUUUAUUAAUAAGUGUUAUAAAGUCAUGUAGUGUAGUAUUGAGUGGACACAGCCCUGAAAAAUAAAGGCAUUAGAUCAUGUGUCCUUGGGGAGUAGAAAGCUGUAGACGCUCGCUCACACUUGCCUUGGAAAAAGUAGAUAAGAGGGGACCAUCUCUAGUGGAAGGUUACUGAGACACUGUUGUUUAGACUAGAAUAAGAGAGCUUCUGUAAUAAAACUGUUAGGGGCACACCACCAUUUUGAGAUCCGCGGCAACGUGUCAUGCAGGACGCAUCUCCCUUCUACAAGUAAUGUGAAAGAGAAAUAAAGUGUUAAAUGGUCUACUGAGCAGUGUUUUGUCUUCCAUCGGAUGCCUCUGAGGAAUCAAAAGAACUCUGUUGAUCUUUAACAGUGGCUAACUCGUGUUUCAGUGCUUGUUGCCAGUGCAUCAGUGUGACAGCUACUGUUGCUACCCAACAUCCCAUCAUCAGUCGAGAUGUUUGGCUAUUCUGAUCACCGUUACAUCGCUGUCACUACGGAUAUUAUCGUCGCAGUCCAUGGAGGUCACUGGGACACAUCCAGAUUAUAUCCGUGUGAGGAUACUGGAAUCAACAAGCACACGAUAGCACAUGUAGCUCCAGUGUAUCAGAUGCCAAACUUCUCAGCUGCACACUGCAUCCCUACUGGUUUACACAACACUCUGUCUGAAACCUCUGAGUGAUCUGGAAUUCUUCACAGAUGAUACCGUUAACAUUUGCCCUCACACUGACACGCUUUGCUGCCUGUUCCUUGGCUAGCACAUUUUGGGAGCUGCUGUUUCUGAUGAGCCUUUCAGCACGUGUACUCUCUCCCUGCUGGAACAGCUCAGCAGUCUCUUGGAUGACCUUGAUGUAUUACACUCCCCAGUUAUAAAAACCCAACAUUCACAAAGCCUCUGACUAUGUUUAAAGUGUCAAUUAAACUGAAAUUCUGAAAUAUUAUGAUAAAAUUUCAAUUUUGGAUUGAUUUUUAAGUUUUCAGUGUGUAACACAAAAAGAAAAAACAGUAAAAUGUGCCAGUAUUUCAUAAUACUCACUUAUAGUAUAUAUAAAUAUCCAUCUGUUUCCUCAGCUAAAGACUGCUGUGCUUAAAUCAUCACCUAGAAAGUGAAAUCUAGCUGCUUCUGUGCCUCAGACAGUAGUAAUAAACAUCUUUGAAACA